GGAAAAAGGUGACCCUCCCAUUGCUGCCGCCGUUGCCCACCCGCCUCACUGCAAGCUCCACCACCAAUCCCCAAACCAAGGAGACGCAGCAGCACAGCAACAGGGAGCCAUCAGCUGAGUGCAGGUUCCUCAGCGAGGCACGGAGCAGCGGAGGCCUGCACGUUACCACCUACCCACUGCCGCAAUACCCGUUCCUCCAGCCCAAGCCACCCAGCACCCCGCCGCCGAGCCAGCAGGAGGUGACAGCAAGAGUGGGCAAGGACGGCUGUGUCUCCCGAGGCUGGUGGAAGAGACGGUAGCCUGCUCUGGCGGGCAAGGAAGGUUCUGCCGCCUCAACAGAGGAUGAGCCAGCACCUUCUCACAGACACCUCUCCUGGACACCAGAGAACCUCCGGCCGUAACCCAGCACCCAACAGCUGGGCAGCACGGGCAGCAACAGAUGCUGGGAGAAAAGCGACUUUCUGAUUUUAGUCGG